rnacentral:rRNA from 1 species
UACAGAGGUGCCAAGCGUUAGGCGGAAUCACUGGGCUUAAAGCGCGUGUAGGUGGAUGGGUAAGUAUCUUGUGAAAUCCCACGGCUCAACCGUGGAACUGCUGGAUAUACUGCCUGUCUUGAGGCACUCAGGGGCAGCUGGAACAAAUGGUGGAGCGGUGAAAUGCGUAGAUAUCAUUUGGAACGCCAAAGGCGAAAGCAGGCUGCUGGGAGUGAUCUGACACUGAGACGCGAAAGCCAGGGGAGCGAACGGG